rnacentral:siRNA from 1 species
CGAGACACAAUCUGCCUUCGUUGC